ACGCUGGCUACAGGCUUAACACAUGCAAGUCGAGGGGAAACGACGGGGAAGCUUGCUUCCUUGGGCGUCGACCGGCGCACGGGCGAGUAACGCGUAUCCAACCUGCCUCUGACUGAGGGAUAACCCGUCGAAAGUCGGCCUAAUACCUCAUGGUAUCGUCUGCGGGCAUCCAAUGACGAUUAAAGAUUUCAUCGGUCAGGGAUGGGGAUGCGUCUGAUUAGCUUGUUGGCGGGGUAACGGCCCACCAAGGCGACGAUCAGUAGGGGUUCUGAGAGGAAGGUCCCCCACAUUGGAACUGAGACACGGUCCAAACUCCUACGGGAGGCAGCAGUGAGGAAUAUUGGUCAAUGGGCGAGAGCCUGAACCAGCCAAGUAGCGUGCAGGAUGACGGCCCUAUGGGUUGUAAACUGCUUUUAUGCGGGGAUAAAGUGAGGGACGUGUCUUUCAUUGCAGGUACCGCAUGAAUAAGGACCGGCUAAUUCCGUGCCAGCAGCCGCGGUAAUACGGAAGCUCCGGGCGUUAUCCGGAUUUAUUGGGUUUAAAGGGAGCGUAGGCCGUGGAUUAAGCGUGUUGUGAAAUGCAGGUGCUCAACGUCUGCACUGCAGCGCGAACUGGUCCACUAGAGUGUGCACAACGCAGGCGGAAUUCGUCGUGUAGCGGUGAAAUGCUUAGAUAUGACGAAGAACUCCGAUUGCGAAGGCAGCUUGCGGGAGCACAACUGACGCUGAAGCUCGAAAGUGCGGGUAUCGAACAGGAUUAGAUACCCUGGUAGUCCGCACGGUAAACGAUGGAUGCCCGUUGCCAGGCUGUUUCAGCCUGGUGACCAAGCGAAAGCAUUAAGCAUCCCACCUGGGGAGUACGCCGGCAACGGUGAAACUCAAGGAAUUGACGGGGGCCCGCACAAGCGGAG
rnacentral:rRNA from 1 species